rnacentral:rRNA from 1 species
AACGAACGCUGGCGGCAGGCUUAACACAUGCAAGUCGAACGCAUCGCAAGAUGGGUGGCAGACGGGUGAGUAACGCGUGGGAACAUACCCUUUUCUACGGAAUAGCUCUGGGAAACUGGAAUUAAUACCGUAUACGCCCUACGGGGGAAAGAUUUAUCGGGGAAGGAUUGGCCCGCGUUGGGUUAGCUAGUUGGUGGGGUAAAGGCCUACCAAGGCGACGAUCCAUAGCUGGUCUGAGAGGAUGAUCAGCCACAUUGGGACUGAGACACGGCCCAAACUCCUACGGGAGGCAGCAGUGGGGAAUAUUGGACAAUGGGCGCAAGCCUGAUCCAGCCAUGCCGCGUGAGUGAUGAAGGCCUUAGGGUUGUAAAGCUCUUUCACCGAUGAAGAUAAUGACGGUAGUCGGAGAAGAAGCCCCGGCUAACUUCGUGCCAGCCGCCGCGGUAAAAC